rnacentral:pre_miRNA from 2 species
UGAGAUCUCAAAGGAGUGUCAUGAGAACACGGAUCCUCUUGUUUCUUUAAGAUUUCCACUGAAACCAAUUGAGUUUUGUGUUCUCAGGUCACCCCUUUGAAUCUCCC